CCUACGGGAGGCAGCAGUGGGGAAUAUUGGGCAAUGGGCGCAAGCCUGACCCAGCAACGCCGCGUGAAGGAAGAAGGCUUUCGGGUUGUAAACUUCUUUUUAGAGGGAAGCGCAGAAGACGGUACCUCUUGAAUAAGCCACGGCUAACUACGUGCCAUCAGCCGCGGUCAUACGUAGGUGGCAAGCGUUGUCCGGAUUUACUGGGUGUAAAGGGCGUGUAGCCGGGCUGACAAGGCAGAUGUGAAAUUCCGGGGCUCAACCCCGGACCUGCAGUUGAAACUGUUGGUCUUGAGUAGCGGAGAGGCAGGCGGAAUUCGUGGUGUAGCGGUGAAAUGCGUAGAUAUUAGGAGGAACACCAGUGGCGAAGGCGGCCUGCUGGACGACAACUGACGGUGAGGCGCGAAAGCGUGGGGAGCAAACAGGAUUAGAUACCCGGGUAGUC
rnacentral:rRNA from 1 species